UACGUAGGGACCGAGCGUUGUCCGGAUUCAUUGGGCGUAAAGAGCUCGUAGGCGGCUGCUCAAGUCGAAUGUGAAAACUCGAGGCUCAACCUCGAGCCUGCAUUCGAUACUGGGCGGCUAGAGUCUGGUAGGGGGAUCUGGAAUUCCUGGUGUAGCGGUGGAAUGCGCAGAUAUCAGGAGGAACACCGAUGGCGAAGGCAGCCCCCUGGGCUAACACUGACGCUCAUGCACGAAAGCGUGGGGAGCAAACAGG
rnacentral:rRNA from 1 species